rnacentral:rRNA from 1 species
AGAGUUUGAUCAUGGCUCAGGACGAACGCUUGCGGCGUGCCUAAGAAAUGCAAGUCGAACGGGGGUGGCGACACCCUAGUGGCGAACGGUCGCGUAACACGUAAGAAACCUGCCUCGAAGCUGGGGACAACAGCCCGAAAGGGCUGCUAAUACCGAAUGUGGUCAUCCUCCCGCAUGGGUGGUUGACUAAAGCCUUGUGCACUUCGAGAUGGUCUUGCGGCCUAUCAGGUUGAUGGUGGGGUAACGGCCUACCAUGCCGACGACGGGUAGCUGGUCUGAGAGGACGAUCAGCCGGAUUGGGACUGAGAUACGGCCCAGACUCCUACGGGGGGCAGCAAUUAGGAAUCUUGCGCAAUGGGCGGAAGCCUGACGCAGCGACGCCGCGUGAGGGAUGACGGCCUUCGGGUUGUAAACCUCUUUUGCCGGGGAAGAAGAACGUGACGGUACCCGGUGAAUAAGCCCCGGCUAACUACGUGCCAGCAGCCGCGGUAAUACGUAGGGGGCGAGCGUUGUCCGAAGUUACUGGGCGUAAAGCGCGCGUAGGCGGCUUCUUAAGUCCGGGGUGAAAGGUCCAGCGCUCAACGCGGACAGUGCCUCGGAUACUGGGGGGCUUGAAUGUGGCAGAGGAUAGUGGAAUGGCUGGUGUAGCGGUGAAAUGCGUAGAUAUCAGUCGGAACACCCAUGGCGAAGGCAGCUAUCUGGGCUAACAUUGACGCUGAGGUGCGAAAGCGUGGGGAGCGAACGGGAUUAGAUACCCCAGUAGUCC